rnacentral:rRNA from 1 species
UACGUAGGUGGCAAGCGUUGUCCGGAUUUAUUGGGUUUAAAGGGUGCGUAGGCGGCUUUGUAAGUCAGUGGUGAAAUAUGGCAGCUCAACUGUCAGGGUGCCAUUGAUACUGCGGAGCUUGAGUACAGAUGAGGUAGGCGGAAUUGACGGUGUAGCGGUGAAAUGCUUAGAUAUCGUCAAGAACACCGAUAGCGAAGGCAGCUUCUGGCUGUAACUGACGCUGAGGGCACGAAAGUGUGGGGAUCAAACAGG